rnacentral:rRNA from 1 species
UGGGGAAUAUUGCACAAUGGGCGAAAGCCUGAUGCAGCGACGCCGCGUGAGGGAUGACGGCCUUCGGGUUGUAAACCUCUUUCGCCCGGGACGAAGCGAGAGUGACGGUACCGGGAGAAGAAGCACCGGCUAACUACGUGCCAGCAGCCGCGGUAAUACGUAGGGUGCGAGCGUUGUCCGGAAUUAUUGGGCGUAAAGAGCUCGUAGGCGGUUUGUCGCGUCGACUGUGAAAACUGGGGGCUUAACUCUCAGCUUGCAGUCGAUACGGGCAGACUUGAGUUCGGUAGGGGAGACUGGAAUUCCUGGUGUAGCGGUGAAAUGCGCAGAUAUCAGGAGGAACACCGGUGGCGAAGGCGGGUCUCUGGGCCGAUACUGACGCUGAGGAGCGAAAGCGUGGGGAGCGAACAGG